rnacentral:rRNA from 1 species
AUUGAACGCUGGCGGCAGGCUUAACACAUGCAAGUCGAGCGGAGAUGAGGUGCUUGCACCUUAUCUUAGCGGCGGACGGGUGAGUAAUGCUUAGGAAUCUGCCUAUUAGUGGGGGACAACAUUCCGAAAGGAAUGCUAAUACCGCAUACGUCCUACGGGAGAAAGCAGGGGAUCUUAGGACCUUGCGCUAAUAGAUGAGCCUAAGUCGGAUUAGCUAGCUGGUGGGGUAAAGGCCUACCAAGGCGACGAUCUGUAGCGGGUCUGAGAGGAUGAUCCGCCACACUGGGACUGAGACACGGCCCAGACUCCUACGGGAGGCAGCAGUGGGGAAUAUUGGACAAUGGGGGAAACCCUGGUCCAGCCAUGCCGCGUGUGUGAAGAAGGCCUUAUGGUUGUGAAGCACUUUAAGCGAGGAGGAGGCUACUGAGACUAAUACUCUUGGAUAGUGGACGUUACUCGCAGAAUAAGCACCGGCUAACUCUGUGCCAGCAGCCGCAGUAA